ACUGGUAUCCAGUCAUCCAUUGGCACAGAGACACAGUUUCCACUUUGAUACAAUCUGUGUCAGCCUGGCAGUUAAUUUAUUUAGCAGCAUCUUAAAUUUUUUUUUUUUGCAUAAAAUCCAGCUCCUGCAGGAUAUUUAUCAGCAUCUUUGCAAGAGAGGAUGAAUUCAAAAUAAAGUACAAGAGAAGAAACAUUCAGUGAUCCUCAUGGAACACCUUUCCUGAAGAGAUGAUGAUGGGGCCAUUUGACAUGGGACACAGCAGGUGCUGGAAGAAGCACAUAUUUUUAGUGACAAAGACUGUGACUAUCCUGCCUCCUGGUUAUAAAGCAAAGCCAAACUGGAGAGAAGACCAGUGCCAGAGCCUUUAUUACUAAAAGGCACAUGCAAAGUGCUGUAAGAUUUCACAGGAUGGAGAGAACAUCUGUGGCAGUGGACAGAGUCGUGAGUGACCACAGAAGGCUUUCUGGAGGCAGGACUUGAGGCCUGAGUGAGAAUGCAGGUGCGCUGAAGGAGCAGGCAAUAGUGAAGAGUCAGGGUUCGGGAGGGGAACCAGAGACCCCAGACUUCAGAACUGCAGCUUUUGGGGUCAACACAACAUCCCAGAACAUCAAGACGCCAAGACAGAUCAGCUAGGACCCUGCAGUAGGAUAUCGGUGUCCAGAUGAGACCAGAAGCAACCCAGUAGAAGCCAGGGGACAGUGUGUGACCACAGAAUUCAUGCCUGAUGCCAUCAAGGGCCUUUGCCUCAGACAUGCAUACGGCAGGAGUGUGAGAUCUAUGGAGUAGGCUCACGUCAUGGAGCAAGGAGGAUGGCAGGGGCUCCAAUGAUGAUGUCUGCGUAAGAAUUCCCAUUUAAGAUCUUUCCAA
rnacentral:sRNA from 1 species